rnacentral:rRNA from 1 species
AAAUUGAAGAGUUUGAUCAUGGCUCAGAUUGAACGCUGGCGGCAGGCCUAACACAUGCAAGUCGAACGGUAGCACAGAGAGCUUGCUCUCGGGUGACGAGUGGCGGACGGGUGAGUAAUGUCUGGGAAACUGCCCGAUGGAGGGGGAUAACUACUGGAAACGGUAGCUAAUACCGCAUAACGUCGCAAGACCAAAGUGGGGGACCUUCGGGCCUCACACCAUCGGAUGUGCCCAGAUGGGAUUAGCUAGUAGGUGGGGUAACGGCUCACCUAGGCGACGAUCCCUAGCUGGUCUGAGAGGAUGACCAGCCACACUGGAACUGAGACACGGUCCAGACUCCUACGGGAGGCAGCAGUGGGGAAUAUUGCACAAUGGGCGCAAGCCUGAUGCAGCCAUGCCGCGUGUAUGAAGAAGGCCUUCGGGUUGUAAAGUACUUUCAGCGAGGAGGAAGGCGUUGUGGUUAAUAACCACAGCGAUUGACGUUACUCGCAGAAGAAGCACCGGCUAACUCCGUGCCAGCAGCCGCGGUAAUACGGAGGGUGCAAGCGUUAAUCGGAAUUACUGGGCGUAAAGCGCACGCAGGCGGUUUGUUAAGUCAGAUGUGAAAUCCCCGGGCUCAACCUGGGAACUGCAUUUGAAACUGGCAAGCUUGAGUCUCGUAGAGGGGGGUAGAAUUCCAGGUGUAGCGGUGAAAUGCGUAGAGAUCUGGAGGAAUACCGGUGGCGAAGGCGGCCCCCUGGACAAAGACUGACGCUCAGGUGCGAAAGCGUGGGGAGCAAACAGGAUUAGAUACCCUGGUAGUCCACGCCGUAAACGAUGUCUACUUGGAGGUUGUGCCCUUGAGGCGUGGCUUCCGGAGCUAACGCGUUAAGUAGACCGCCUGGGGAGUACGGCCGCAAGGUUAAAACUCAAAUGAAUUGACGGGGGCCCGCACAAGCGGUGGAGCAUGUGGUUUAAUUCGAUGCAACGCGAAGAACCUUACCUGGUCUUGACAUCCACGGAAGUUUUCAGAGAUGAGAAUGUGCCUUCGGGAACCGUGAGACAGGUGCUGCAUGGCUGUCGUCAGCUCGUGUUGUGAAAUGUUGGGUUAAGUCCCGCAACGAGCGCAACCCUUAUCCUUUGUUGCCAGCGGUUAGGCCGGGAACUCAAAGGAGACUGCCAGUGAUA